rnacentral:rRNA from 1 species
CAAUAGCGUAUAUUAAAGUUGUUGCAGUUAAAAAGCUCGUAGUUGGAUUUCGGAAUGGGCCAGUUGGUCCGCCGCAAGGUGUGUUACUGACUGGUCUGUUCUUCUUCGCAAAGACUGCGUGUGCUCUUCACUGAGUGUGCGUAGGAUUUACGACGUUUACUUUGAAAAAUUAGAGUGUUCAAAGCAGGCUAUCGCUUGAAUACAUGAGCAUGGAAUAAUGGAAUAGGACUUUGGUUCUAUUUUGUUGGUUUCUAGGACCGAAGUAAUGAUUAAUAGGGACAGUUGGGGGCAUUUUUAUUCCAUUGUCAGAGGUGAAAUUCUUGGAUUAACGGAAGAAAAACUACUGCGAAAGCAUCUGCCAAGGAUGUUUUCAUUGAUCAAGAACGAAAGUUAGGGGAUCGAAGACGAUUAGAUACCGU